rnacentral:rRNA from 1 species
AACGAACGCUGGCGGCAUGCCUAACACAUGCAAGUCGAACGAGACCUUCGGGUCUAGUGGCGCACGGGUGCGUAACGCGUGUGAACCUGCCCUUAGAUUCGGAAUAACUCCCCGAAAGGGGUGCUAAUACCGGAUAAUGUCUUCGGACCAAAGAUUUAUCGCCUUUGGAUGGGCCCGCGUUGGAUUAGCUAGUUGGUAGGGUAAAAGCCUACCAAGGCGACGAUCCAUAGCUGGUCUGAGAGGAUGAUCAGCCACACUGGGACUGAGACACGGCCCAGACUCCUACGGGAGGCAGCAGUGGGGAAUAUUGGACAAUGGGCGAAAGCCUGAUCCAGCAGUGCCGCGUGAGUGAUGAAGGCCUUAGGGUUGUAAAGCUCUUUUACCCGGGAUGAUAAUGACAGUACCGGGAGAAUAAGCUCCGGCUAACUCCGU